rnacentral:rRNA from 1 species
GAUGAAUGCUGGCGGCGUGCCUAAUACAUGCAAGUCGAGCGAACAGACGAGGAGCUUGCUCCUUUGACGUUAGCGGCGGACGGGUGAGUAACACGUGGAUAACCUACCUAUAAGACUGGGAUAACUUCGGGAAACCGGAGCUAAUACCGGAUAACAUGUUGAACCGCAUGGUUCAACAGUGAAAGACGGUUUUGCUGUCACUUAUAGAUGGAUCCGCGCCGCAUUAGCUAGUUGGUAAGGUAACGCCUUACCAAGCCAACGAUGCUUAGCCGACCUGAGAGGGUGAGCGGCCACACUGGAACUGAGACACGGUCCAGACUCCUACGGGAGGCAGCAGUAGGGAAUCUUCCGCAAUGGGCGAAAGCCUGACGGAGCAACGCCGCGUGAGUGAAGAAGGUCUUCGGAUCGUAAAACUCUGUUAUUAGGGAAGAACAAAUGUGUAAGUAACUAUGCACGUCUUGACGGUACCUAAUCAGAAAGCCACGGCUAACUACGUG